AGCUCUUUUCUCUGUUUGUGGUCGGUCUUUACAGGUUAACCAGCCUAAACUGAUCUUGAAAGACAAGUUUUGAGAUCAAAGUUGGCAAGGGAAGAAGUAUCAAGCUGCAACCAUCAAUAACCGAAGAAGUGCCCUUGCAGCCUUUUGCAAGGGUCGAAAUUUAGUACAAGCAAACCGUAAUGGACAAGAGUUUCAAAAUGAUGAGGUUGAAGAUGAGGACAUAUUUGAGAUUGGGGUGUUCGUAAAGUUAUGCAGAAGCAACCAUGGCAGCCCAUAGCAGUUCCCACAGCUAGAAGGUCACCAGCAUAAUGCCUUUGCAUUCACAAGUUUCAAGAGGUGUGUUUGGUGAGGCUAAAAGGAUCUUCUGCUGGGAUAUGUUUCUACCUAAAACCUAUUUUGCACUUUUGUCUAUGAUGUAAUACUUUGACUUAUGAACCUACAACUGUAUGCAUUUAGACCUGAUGGAUGGUUGUGCUUUUGGCUGUCCUGGACUUGUGAACCUAUAUAUGUAUGGAUUAUGUAUGGAUGGAGACUUGUGAAUCUAUGGAUGAUGGAUUGCUCAUAAGUAUAUGCAUGCAUGUGUGUUUUAUA